GAUGAAGAACGCAGCGAAAUGCGAUAAGUAAUGUGAAUUGCAGAAUUCAGUGAAUCAUCGAAUCUUUGAACGCACAUUGCGCCCGCCAGUAUUCUGGCGGGCAUGCCUGUUCGAGCGUCAUUUCAACCAUCAAGCCCCCGGCUUGUGUUGGGGACCUGCGGCUGCCGCAGGCCCUGAAAAGCAGUGGCGGGCUCGCUGUCACACCGAGCGUAGUAGCAUACAUCUCGCUCUGGGCGUGCUGCGGGUUCCGGCCGUUAAACCACCUUCAUAACCCAAGGUUGACCUCGGAUCAGGUAGGAAGACCCGCUGAACUUAAGCAUUCAAUAAGCGGAGGA
rnacentral:misc_RNA from 1 species